rnacentral:rRNA from 1 species
GACGAACGCUGGCGGCGUGCUUCAUACAUGCAAGUCGAACGAGAAGCUGACUUCGGUCAGUGGAAAGUGGCGGACGGGUGAGUAAUAUGUAGGAAAUCUGCCUUUAGGAGGGGGACAACAGAGGGAAACUUCUGCUAAUACCCCAUAUGAGCGUAGCUGAAAUGCUAUUCUUGAAAACUCCGGUGCCUAAAGAUGAGCCUGCAUCUGAUUAGCUAGUUGGUCGUGUAAUGGACUACCAAGGCGACGAUCAGUAGCUAGUUUGAGAGGAUGAUCAGCAAAAACGGAACGGAGACACGGCCCAUAAUCCUACGGGAGGCAGCAGUAGGGAAUUUUGCGCAAUGGGCGAAAGUCUGACGCAGCAACGCCGCGUGAACGACUAAGCCCGGCGGGGUAUAAAGUUCUGUCAGUGGGGACGAAACUUGACGGUACCCACAGAGGAAGCACCGGCUAACUCCGUG